GAAAAGGGUAGAGACGAAGAAAGGAGGAGUCAUUUUGUUUAGGGUUUAAUAACCUGAUUAAUGUUCUUCAUUUCUGUUUUGUUUCACUCCAUCGCUGAUCUUCGUCGCUCAUGGUCAAGCAUCACUUCGUCCGAUCAUCGUUCGCGAUCGCCGUUCGUGAUUUCGUUUGGUCCGCUUGCCGAUCGUGGACGUCGUUCGUUUGCUCGUGUUUCGUCCCUGUCGCAGAUCUCCUGGUUUUUUAUCACUGUCGCAAUCACAACCGUCCUCGCCACCAUCCUCACCGCCUUCCUCGCCGUUGCAAUUUCUAGUCCGG
rnacentral:lncRNA from 1 species